rnacentral:lncRNA from 1 species
CGCCCGCCGCCUCCUGGGGCCGCUCUCCACUGCGAGUCCGCCGGGACUAACCGGGCGUUUGCGAGAGGGGGUGCGUCCAAGGGCCCCUCCCGCGUGUCCGGCGCCCACCUUUGGCCCUGAGGGCCGAGUGGGGAGCCCCACGACGCUAUUACAGCCUUUCAGAUGCACGGACUGGGAAACUGGGGCUCAGAGAAGUCAAGUGGCUCGCCCAAGGUCACCCAGCGAGUGAUCCUGGGAAGAGGGGACAAGGGCCGAGCUGGAGCUGGGAAGGGCGCCCCAGUUCGCCCCAGUCGCGCUCUGAGGAAUAGCAGCGGGACCGCCCUGCUCUCUAAAGCUUCCUGGACUUCUCUAAGUUAUGUCGCGUUGCUGUCCCCUCGUACUUAUAAGAGAGUAAGGCAGGGGCGCCGUCCUUUCUCCGCGCCUGAGCUCAGAGCGCCAACCUCCUGAGAUCCGCCAGCUCAGAGGUAGCAAUCUGGAACACUCCUGACUGGCUCUUCAUCCCUCCCUGAUCUGAGUUGGCAGUCAGUCCACCAGCAGCUGUGGAGGAGGGCUAUGCACUGGGAAACUGACAGCAAGGGCACUGAAUCUUCUGCUCCAGACCCUCCUUCUCCGAGAACCUUCCAAGAAGGCAGGUGCCAAACGCUGUGAGUGCUCAUGCAGGGUCCUCCGGGGAGGAGGGAGAUGAAUGUCUCUGUGAGAUGCUCAGGAAAUUGUCCCCACCCACCAACCUGGCUGAGCCGUUGGCUGUGGGGCACCUCCAUGCUGUGCUGCACACUCCGCUCAUCUUCAUGAGAUCACCUUCCUGCAGGCGCUAACCCUCUGAUUCUUUUGAAAAGGAGAAAUCAGGUCUUGGGAAAGCCGGUGAUUUUCCUACAAGCAGCUGCAGGUAGUAUUCACACUCAGGUCUUUUGGCUUCCAGGCCAAAAGAGGUCUCUCUAGAAUACACCAGUACUCACUGAGCACAUACUAUGUGCAGAGACUGCUCUGGGUACAGGGGACAUAGCCAUGGACAGAACAGACUUCUCCAAAGGCCCUUAAGGCCAGGGCACUGGGGCUGCUUACUCCAUCUGCAGAGUUUGUGGUUAGACUGACCAGGCGCUCAGGUCUGGACGGGAAGCCCCGCACUGCAAUAAGGAACUGUGGCUGCUCUUUCUUCUCACAUCCAGGUCUGGGACUAGCUUCUCAGCCCCAGAGACAAAAGGGUACUUCCCAAACCCACCCCACUCAGUGACACUGGGCCAUCUCUGAGAACACAGCAAGUCCCUGUGGCCCCAGCCCACUGCCAUAGCGCUGUCUGCCAGAAUCCACACCUGCCUCCUCUUCACCCACCUACUGACUCCUGGAGAGAGAAAGACAAGUCCUUGGCCUUUAUGACACUAACUGCAAUAAGUCAGACACAGCUGCAGCAAACUCAGUGUCAUCAGAGGAGACACAAAAUGUAGGGAGUGUGUCUAUGAGGAAGUUUUCAUAUUUGCUGCUCACACUACAAGCUUCUCACUGCUGUUCACACCACAAGCUUCCUCUUCAUUUUGUUUAAGAAAGGUGGAUCCUAUCCCAGUUACUCCAAAACUCUGCAGUGCCAUACUGUGAAAUCCUAAUCCGACUGUACCAAAGGCCAGAGAGACCUCGGCUUGGCCCCAGCUGCCUUGCUUACUAUCCUCCUCACAGGAUCAUUUUGAGGUUGAAAUUGAAGCAUUAAGCUCACAUAGGCACCAUGUGCAUUUUAAAGCUUUUCCACUCUCUGUCCUCUCCACCAGCAUUGUUUGUGCUCCUGUUCACACUUAACACAUCUGGUCCUCGUCAUCUGUGGACCCCUUUGCCUUCACACUGUCCUCAGAGCCUGCUCAGCUGCCCAGCCCCAGUGCCUGGUCCAGAGGUCAGUUCACAGCAAGCACUCAGCAUUCAUUCUGGAUCCGUGUCUCCCAAAAUGCAGUCCCGGAACAGCAAUGCUACCCAGCCAUCUGAGGCCAAUUCAUUUGUCAUGUAAGGCAGGCACCAAAAGAUGGCACAUCCUUACCUAGAAAUCAGUCAUUUAUGUGUCAGGGAGGAAGACAAGAGUGUUCACUCUGAUCCCUGACUCCAGUCAGUUACAGCAGGAAAUACUUUUUCAAAACUUGUAACUGUGGCUGAAAAGCCUUGACACAAGUGGGGGAGGACACAAAGCAACUCUUCAAAGUUGGGAGGCUUCACACAGUUCAAAGCCCAGUGUAGAUCUGGAGUGCCUUCACCAAGGACUAUUUGGUCUAUGAGUGGCUCUCUUGUAUUUUACUCAAACAAGCUCCAAAAAACUUCCUCAUUCAGGUAGUCACAAGCCACCACUUUUUAGAGAUGAGGAAACUGUUGCUCAGAAGGUUUAAGUGACUCAGAGAUAGUAAGUGGAGAAUUGGACACAUGCUUGCAUGCACAUACACAUGCACACGCACGCGCAUGUGCGCACACACACACAAACACACACUCCACCCAAUGUGAGGAUGGAUACAAUCAGACCUUCAAUCCCAGUCACUCACAUACCUGAAGACACCUGUCUUUCUGUCUCUGUAUCCAUCUGCCCUGCAAAUCUAUACCCUCCUGUCAGUAUUUGGUGGAUGGAAACCUCAGUUUCUCUCGUCAGCUCUCUUCUUUGACAAGAGAAUCGAGCCAUCCUGGCUCUGUCUUUCUGCAGCUUAAAAAAAUAAAAUAAAUAAAUAACCACACACACAGAUAUUGUGCACACACCCCCUAGUGGCCACAUGUGGAGGCACAUGCCCCACAAAGUUUGCGUUGGGGUUGAUAACCACUUGAGUUUGAGAAGGAAACCCCAGAUAGGAUUGCAACUCCAUCCUAGGAAGGAGGAUGGUGAAAGAUGAUCUUAUGUGGAAGACAGUGAAAAUGGAAAAAGACAAAGAAAAGGGGAGGAGAAAGAAAAAUGUGAUGGAGAAAAAGAAGGCAGGAGAACCAAAGGAAGAUUAAAGAAAGGUAUAUAGAAUAGGAGGAGUGAGAGAAAAAAAUAAGGCAAGCUUAAAGGAGGGACGUUUCUCAAUGUGAAGUCUUUCUCUAUUUCAAAUAUAAGCACAAAAAGUAAUGAUGGAAAAUAAUGCGAAUUGGUGUGUCCAGGGUCAGCUGGCCAUCCUGUACACAGGCAGGUGGGGACAGACGAGCCAAGGAUGAGAGGUGACAGGGCCCGUAUCUGACCCCGUCACUGCCUGACUUGGUAAUAUUUUCAGAAUCCAAAGCUUUCUCUGUCCCUAUUUCUGAGCUUGUAAAGGGUAGCUAAUAGCAGUUGUUUGUUGAGUUCUGAUGAGAACAAUAAAGAUUUGCAGAGAAAACCCUGAAAAGUGCUCUAAGCUCUUGGACAUAACCAUCACAGAAAUGUGUUUUGUUAUUUUGCUCAAUGCAGCAAAAACCCUCCAUCCUUUGCUUCCUGGUGUAAAAGGUUAUAUGUGAUGCUGGAGUGCCAAAGUACUUGGUGUAUUUCAACAGUGCAUCAAGUUAUCACCACCUCUGGUGCUUUGGAAGAUGCUGUGAUUUGGAAAGCACUGUCGAAAUGUAAAACAUUAUUGCCACAGUAGUAAAAAUAUCCGUGUCCAUCUCCUAGUCCACUAUUUCUUGUCAGGAUGCAUAGAGAUACACAUGAAACAAUUCUGUACACAUUAGUAGAAUGUUUUACAGCAAAACUGCACAUAUCUGAGUUUGGCAAAAUAAUCAGAAACAAAAUAUUUCUGUCAGUGUCAAGUUACCCUUAGUGUCCGAACAGCUACCAAGGGGGUGAUAAAGUGUUUAGUGCCCACUGCAAAUGUGAACACAUCCGGGUUUCAUAGAAAAAUGCCAGCUUGGGCUUGUGUUUUUCUUUAGUUAAGAAAGGAAGAAACAAACUUAACAAAAAUGGCUGUGGAAAAAGAAUGGACAUAAAGCUGAGAUUGUGGACUUAAGUUAGAUCACUGAAUUACAAGAGAAACAUUUUUUCUCAAAAUCAAAGUCGACUUUUGUUGGUGACUCAACUGCAAACUCACUGAACGUCUCUGUGAAUUUCAUUCUUUGGCGUUUCUCUAGCGUAGCACUAGCCUUCCCACUAAUAUCAGCCCUCAUCACCACCAUGUCUGGAUUUAUACCAAGAGGAGACACAAUGCCUCAAAAUCCAUUGCUUGUUGUUAAUGGAGAGAUUGCGGUUACUGGUUAUACCUGGGCAACCUCGAUCAACUUUAUCACACCUCUAAUGACAGCUGGCAUGUGCAACGCUCCAGCUUCCUCUGGCAAAUCUUAUCCUGAGAGCAAAUUCUCUCUCAGUCUUCGUAGCCAUACCUGUUGGUCUGCAAGCAUUAGCAACUUAGAUAUACAGACUAUCAUGAUCUGUGCACAGUUCAAGAGUAAGUUACCCUUGAGCAUAUGGCGGUUGAGGCCACAAGUUAAGGAGUCUGAUACCACUGUGCGCCUGCCCCUAAUAAUCUGGGAGCUUUGGGGCAAGGCAGCCUCUUUGUGCCUCUCUUUCUGCACUUGCAAAAUGAAGGCAGUAUUACCCCCUCCCCUGCAAACAGUUACUUUAGGACCUCCAUGAGUGGCAUGUAUUUAAAGUGUUUAUCACAGAACCUGACACGCCAGGGGCAUAGAAUGGGUGCAGCAUCAGUAGAGCAGCACUGUCCAAAAUUAAUGUGAGCCACAUGUUUAAUUUUAAAUUUUCUAGAAGCCAGUUGACAAUGUGAAAAGAAACAGAUGAAGUUAGUUUCAAUAGGAUUAUUUAAUCCAAUGUAUCCAGAAUACUGUUUCAAUAUAUAAUCAAUAAUUUUAAAAUA